GCGCCCCUAGCUCUCCUUUUGAUAAAGCCUUUAUGUAAGGAUGUACUAAGGUGCCAUGUUGUGCAGUCCUGGCCAACAGAGUCACAAGGCAUCAGCUCAUCUGGUUGUAAGUAAGUCAUCACUGUCCCCCAGCAGGAGGAAAGCGGUGGCCAUUGCUGCCAUCUGACCUGAUGUUCUGUUUUGCAGGUGAGCCGGCCCCAUCCCAGUGACCAUCCCCUCUUGAUCCUCUUUGUGGUGGGCGGCGUCACAGUUGCUGAAGCCAAAAUGGUCAAAGACCUUGUAGCAUCUCUGAAGCCAGGAACCCAGGUGAUGGUGCUGUCCACAAGACUCCUGAAGCCACUUAACAUUCCUGAGCUGCUCUUUGCAACUGACCGGCUACACCCAGACCUUGGCUUCUGACAUCUAAGAGAAGAUUAGACCUGUUUGAGCUGGAAAUACCAAUACCCAUUGGUCACCGCUCCAGAUAUGCCUCCAAAGGCUGUGUCCCGGUUACUAAUUAUAGGGGAGAAGAAAAAAAACGACUGAACUUGGAAUCAUUUUCAGAUGCUGCAGCUCAGUUUUAGAGACCAGAUGUUCGUGCUCAUGCCCAGUCGUUCUAUACCUGCACCAAGUCUCUGCCGCUGCUGACUGCGAGGCGGCUCCUUUUUCAAUCCCACGAAUCUAAAAGUCUUAUAUUUGAAUAAGGGGAAAAUGUAAACAAAUUAUCUAUAAGGAGAGAUAAGCACUUCCUAAAAUAAAGAAAUUGAAAGUGUC
rnacentral:lncRNA from 1 species